GCGGAUGUGGCGGAAUGGCAGACGCGCACGGUUCAGGUCCGUGUGAAGCAAUUCGUGGAGGUUCGACUCCUCUCAUCCGCACCA
rnacentral:tRNA from 1 species